UCUUGUAGCACUAAAGUGCUUAUAGUGCAGGCAAUGUUUAGUCGUCUACUGCAUUAUGAGCACUUCAAGUCCUGCAAG
rnacentral:pre_miRNA from 1 species